rnacentral:tRNA from 1 species
ACGACCGGGGCGACUGGGGGCGCGGGCGGUCUCCAAAACCGCCGACUCGCGGGUUCGAAUCCUGCCGGUCGUGC